rnacentral:rRNA from 1 species
GCAAGUCAAGGGGAACGCACCUUAGGGUGCAAGUACACUGGCGCACGGGUGAGUAACGCGUGAGAAACCUACCCUAAAGUGGGGGACAACACUCCGAAAGGGGUGCUAAUACCACAUAAUCUAGCCAUUCGCAUGUUUGGCUAAGAUAGGCGGCUUCGGCUGUCGCUUUUGGAUGGUCUCGCGUAUUAUUAGAUAGUUGGUGGGGUAACGGCCUACCAAGUCUUCGAUGAUUAGCCGGCCUGAGAGGGUGGCC